rnacentral:piRNA from 1 species
CACAUGUAGAAGUCAGAGGACAACUU